ensembl:misc_RNA Metazoa_SRP Metazoan signal recognition particle RNA
GCAUUGUGGUAGUGUGCACCUGUAAUCCCAGCUACUCGGGAGGCUGAGAUGGGAGGAUUGCUUGAGCACAGGAGUUCUGGGCUGCAGAGCACUAUGCUGAUUGGGUGUUCUCACUAAGUUUGACAUCAGUGAGAUGACCUCCUGGGAGCAGGGGACCACCAGGUUGCCUAAUGAGGGCUGAACUGGCCCAUGUCAGAAAUGGAGCGGGUCAAAACUCCCAUGAUACUCAGUAGAAUCACAGGUGUGCCCCCGGCCCUGGACUGGAAGGAUAGGAAUUCAUGCCCU